rnacentral:rRNA from 1 species
AUGGACAACAGCGCGCCGCCGGUGAUCAUCGUUGGGGCGGGGCCGUCGGGGCUGGCUGCGUCGGCGUGCCUGGCUCGGCGCGGGGUGGAUAGCAUCGUCCUGGAGCGGGACGACUGCGUCGGCUCGCUGUGGCAGAAGCGCGCCUACGACCGCCUCCACCUGCACCUCCCCAAGCAGGCGAGCGCGCUCCCCCACCUGCCGCACGACGACGACGCGCCGGCCUACCUCCCCCGCGACCACUUCGUCCGCUACCUCGACGCCUAUGCCGACCGCUUCGCCGUGCGCGCGCGCCUCCGCCUCCGCCGCGAGGUCCGCUCGGCGCGCUUCGUGGACGGCCGGUGGGAGGUGGAGGCCGUCAACCUCGCCACCGGCGAUGCGGAGCAGUACACGGCGAGGUUCCUGGUGGUGGCCACGGGGGAGUUCGACGAGAAGGUGCUGCCCGAGGUGCCCGGGCUGGACACGUUC